ACGAGCCCCACUUAAUUAGAUAGGCUUCCAGAUAUCUACUUUCUUACCUUCAGUGUUGCUUUUCUUCACCAGCACGAAAACUUCAUUACAAGAGUUAAGAGUGUGUACAUCCACAUUAUCCAUAACAAAUGCUUCCGAAGUCGUAGAUUGGGCAAUUCAAACUACAUUAAAACCAGAUAAAAUGUUCCUGGAGCUUGAUGUGGCUGGCCUGGACAAGCUUGGGUCAAGAAUUUUUUUUUGGAGGGUUUUUAAGUAUGAAGCCUACACAUAGUACACAAUAACAAUACAGUAACAAAUUUAACACCAGCGUGUAGGUCAAAAAAAAUCGUUUUUUGAAACAGUAAGUGCCUGGUUUUAACUGAAAAAUAAUCCAGUUUUAUCGAAUUAUGUGGUGUAGAACUUAACUGCAGUUUCAACUUGAAAUCCAACACUUGAAAAUGUAAUUUAAAAUGUAAUUUGUUAUGAAAAUUAAAUUCCUUUUUUCUUCACCGAUGGAAAUUUUCUUUUACUAAUUUAACAUUAAAUUGUUAGAAAUUCCU